rnacentral:rRNA from 1 species
CGCAGCCGCGGUAAUUCCAGCUCCAAUAGCGUAUAUUAAAGUUGUUGCAGUUAAAAAGCUCGUAGUUGAAUUUCGGGAUUGACGUGAUGGUCAUGCCUUAAGGGGUAUGAACUGUUACUGUUGAUUUCUCACCUUCUGGAGAAACUUGAUGUCCUUUAUUGGGUGUCUUGCGGAUCCAGGACCUUUACCUUGAAAAAAUUUAGAGUGUUUAAAGCAGGCAUUUUUGCUCGAAUACAUUAGCAUGGAAUAAUAGAAUAGGACGGCAUGGUUCUAUUUUGUUGGUUUCUAGGAUCACCGUAAUGAUUAAUAGGGAUAGUUGGGGGCAUUAGUAUUCAAUUGUCAGAGGUGAAAUUCUUGGAUUUAUUGAAGACUAACUACUGCGAAAGCAUUCGCCAAGGAUGUUUUCAUUAAUCAAGAACGAAAGUUAGGGGAUCGAAGACGAUCAGAUACCGUCGUAGUCUUAACCAUAAACUAUGCCGACUAGGAAUCAGACGAUGUUAAUUUUUUCAAUGACUCGUUU